AGCUAAAGACAAAGUGACUGUUUGCUGACAACAUACAAGUACCCACGCUCUUUAUAUAUAAUUUGUCUGCUGUUGGGGUUGUUUUACUGGUUGAAAAAAUGGCAUAUUUGGAGGAAAUAUUGCGAAAACUCGGCUGGGACGACGGCUUCCAGAUGCCGGUAGCAAACUCAGAAAAUCAAGCUCUUGAGCAGGAGCUGGCGAAGCUGACUUUGCAUAAAGUCAAAGCCAAAUCCAUCUUGGACAAUUCGCAGAGCCGCUUGACCAACUUGAAAGAGCAUUUUAAGUUCGUGACCCAAGAAAACGAGCAAACGCAGAAAAUCAUAACUGCCCAUAAGCAACAGUACGAUAGCGAAGCCAACCAAUACCAUGCGCUCAAAGGCGAGAAAAACAAACUGGAGCAUGAUGUUGCAGAAGUGGACAAACGGAUAAAACUGCUAGCAGAAGACAAAGGGAAGCAAAAGAAAAAUCUUGAAAAAGCCGUGAUAAAGGUGGACAGAAUAAAGCGAGAAACCGGCUGGGACAUCGAGGCGCUAAAGGCAUGGGAAGAAGCUCUGAAAAAGCGGGACGACGACAACGAGUUGAUCAAGAAAUUUUCCAAGGAAGACGAAAGACGAUUCAAUGAACUGGAAGCAAGGCGGCAAUUUCUGCAAAGCGAAUACGAUGCCAAAAACUUCACAAUCAGUAAAAUGGUGUGCGACUUGCACAGCUGUGAAAUGAUCAUAGAAAGAACUGGAAAAGCAAUUAAACAGCAAAUAAACGAACGGGAAAACUUAAUCAAGCAAUGGAAAGACACUGUUAAAAUGCUACAGCAACGCGACGCAGACAUCGACGCCCGACAGGAACGCAUUCUGGAAGCAGAAACGGUCCUGGAACAGCAGCAGGAGCAUUUGGAGGAAGAAAAUUCGAUGCUGAAAAAUGAGCAGAAGAAUAAUCAUGUCAUUGAGCUGGAAUUGGAGCAACUAAACGCAGCCAAUUCGCGAAUGCGAAGAGAGCUUGGAGACCUGCAACAGACGAUGUAUGCUAUUGUUAAUGAGUGCCACACGCUCAAACGCCGUGUAACAGCAUCAGCAAACAAUCUGGAAAAGCUGAGAAUACAGAAACGACAAAUGGAUGUAGAGAUGGACCAAAAAGAAAGAAAAUGCAUCAAAGACCAAGCAGAGAUGGAAAGCAUAGAAAGUAAAAUCGCAGAAAUGAAGGGCAGCAACUUGUCCUCAACAGAGCGAAUAAGACGAAUAAGAAAACUCAUGGAAAGCGAAGAGAAGCGUUGCUCCGUCCUGAUGGCCGAUACCGAGAAAAUCAACAGCAAUCUUUACAGAACGGAUCAGCUGCUCAAAGAUCAGCAACAAGUCGGCAAAUCGUUGGAGAUUCAGAUCAACAACAGCUACUGCAUAUGCAAUAAGCUUCGCAAGCAUAUCCGGGAUGAGGAAAAAAGCCUGGAGAAGUUAAAAGAAGUUGUGUAUGACAUGGAGUUUAGAAUCGACGAAUUCGAACAACGGCUGUGCAAGCUGGAAGGCUCAAACAAACCGGAUGAUCAUGCGGAUGAAAAGGAUGAGAAAAUCAGGGAGUUGGAAACCACUUUGUAUGAUCAUGCAGAGGUUCAGCACACGCUUCAAAGUCAAGUGGAUCGCCUGCAGGACGAAAUGCGAAAAUUGUCGAAUUUUAUUGCUGCCGAUAGAGAGCACUUGGAAAACCUGCAAAACCAAGUCGAAAACCACUUGUUAGUGUAUGAUAUAGGCAGGAAGCAAAUUGCUGCAGCAAAAAAAUCCACACAAGAGAAGCAGGUCGAGGAAAACAUCAUGCGCUUAAGAAUCAACCACAUUGAGACCGAUAUGCAUAAGGAGGAAAAGCGCAUAUUCAGUCUGCAGAAGCUGAGACUAACACUUGACCAGGUAAUGAAGGAACGGAACCUGGAGAUUGACACAAAAAGAUCAAUAGUUUUAACGAAAAAACGCAACCUCGAAGAGGAGAAAGGCAGACUUAAAGGCGACAUCUCCAUACGAAAAAUCAAGCUUGAGCAGUUCCAAAAAAAGUACCAUAUAGAACUGAUGUCCCUGGGCAAAGAUGAAGAUGGGCAACCGUUAUCGGUAACUCAUUUUAAAAUAAAAAGCGCCCAGGAGAAGUUCUUCUUGCAGCAGCAAGGAGACGAAUUGGAUAAGAAAAUUAAGGUGGCCGAAAAGGAAAUUGUGGCCAUUGAAAACACACUGAAAAUGAUCAACUUGACAAAUGUGGCGUUUAAGAACAAUUUAUCACCACUUAAAGAUGAUGAUGUCACUAUUCAAGAAAUGAAAGUUUUGGAAAACAAAUACAAAGACUGGACACAGAAAUGCAGAGAAGCUAAGCAAGAAUUAGCAAAACAUCAGGCAAUUUUUGAUGAUUUAACCAAAGAACUGAAUGAGGUUUUGAUGCCAGUGCGGAUGGAGAACAAAGAACUAGUCGAUAAACUAGAGGAGGAGAAUAUUGUCAUCGAGAAACAGGAAAGAACCAAAGAGGAAAAACUGAAAAGAACUGAGACGCAGAUAAGAAAAGCGUUGAAGAACCUACGCUCAAAAGAUAUUUCUAUUUACGACCAAGAUCUGGAAGUGAGACAACUGAAAGAUGCAAAUAAUACUGUUGUGAAACGACUGUGUUCCAUGAUGAAGGAGUAUGCGGAUGUGGCUCCAAACAUUAGCAAAUAUUCAGCCGAACACAACAUCGACUUAAAAUCGCAAAACAGUUUAAGUUCGGAUAGUUUCUCAACGGCAUCGAGUAUCAGCUCGCCGUCCAGCACUAGAAGUCUUACGACCAGAUUUAACCCUGUGGUUGUAUCAAAGGUCGAUUUAUCCUUCAAUUAGUUGAGCUAGCUGUAGUUUGUUCAUGAAAAAUUUCAUUUAUUCAAAUAUAUGGUCCAUUCCAGGCGGCAACGGCUCCAGAGGACGCACUGCGGCUAAAUUCGACAUGUGGCCCGCUGGUGGUAGAAUACUCUCGUCUGGGAUCUAGAUGAUUGUUCAAAAUGCAAUGUAAAUAAUUGGCAGGAGAAUAAAAAUCAGCAAUUA